AUUACGGGUAGCCGGCCUGAGAGGGCGACCGGCCACACUGGGACUGAAACACGGCCCAGACUCCUGCGGGAGGCAGCAGUGGGGAAUAUUGCGCAAUGGGCGAAAGCCUGACGCAGCGACGCCGCGUGGGGGAUGACGGCCUUCGGGUUGUAAACCUCUUUUACCACCAACGCAGGCUCGAAGUUUUCUUCGGGUUGACGGUAGGUGGGGAAUAAGGACCGGCUAACUACGUGCCAGCAGCCGCGGUAAUACGUAGGGUCCGAGCGUUGUCCGGAAUUAUUGGGCGUAAAGAGCUCGUAGGCGGCGUGUCGCGUCUGCUGUGAAAGACCGGGGCUUAACUCCGGUUCUGCAGUGGAUACGGGCAUGCUAGAGGUAGGUAGGGGAGACUGGAAUUCCUGGUGUAGCGGUGAAAUGCGCAGAUAUCAGGAGGAACACCGGUGGCGAAGGCGGGUCUCUGGGCCUUACCUGACGCUGAGGAGCGAAAGCAUGGGGAGCGAACAGGAUUAGAUACCCUGGUAGUCCAUGCCGUAAACGUUGGGCGCUAGGUGUGGGGACUUUCCACGGUUUCCGCGCCGUAGCUAACGCAUUAAGCGCCCCGCCUGGGGAGUACGGCCGCAAGGCUAAAACUCAAAGGAAUUGACGGGGGCCCGCACAAGCGGCGGAGCAUGUUGCUUAAUUCGACGCAACGCGAAGAACCUUACCAAGGUUUGACAUCACCCGUGGACUCG
rnacentral:rRNA from 1 species